GAUGAAGAACGUAGCGAAAUGCGAUACUUGGUGUGAAUUGCAGAAUCCCGUGAACCAUCGAGUCUUUGAACGCAAGUUGCGCCUCAAGCCAUUAGGUUGAGGGCACGUCUGCCUGGGCGUCACAUAUCGUUGCCUGAUGCCAGUUUCCUCGUGAUGGGUGACUGUGCAGGGCGAAUGAUGGCUUCCCGUGAGCAUUGUUGCCUCAUGGUUGGUUGAAAAUUGAGUCCUUGGUAGGGAGCGCCGUGAUAGAUGGUGGUUGAGUGACGAACGAGACCCAAUCAUGUGAGACCCCUACCGAAUUUGGCCUUCAUGACCCACAUGCGUCUUUGGAACGCUCAUGACGAGACCUCAGGUCAGGCGGGGCUACCCACUGAGUUUAAGCAUAUCAAUAAGCGGAGGA
rnacentral:misc_RNA from 1 species